GCAAGUGUUUAACAGAUGCUUCCUUAUUAAAAUAUUCCCCCCCCCCCCCAACUCUCAAAUAUUGAAGAAUCUCAAACCAGGGACACCAGCCCCUUACGGAAGACCUUGGGCGAUUUCAAAGCGCAGGCACCUCGAUUCCCCGAAUUUGUGGUGUGGCGGGUACCGGUGUUCCCCUGUUUUAACUAGCCUGUUUGCAAAUUGUAUACAUGCCAGCAAUAUUUUCUUCCAAGCCGGGAGGAAACCAUUGAACAUUCAGAUGAGGAAGGAAUUGCAAGUUUGCAUACAUGCUCCGUGGGAACAGAGCCCGAGGACCCAGCCGGACAACGACGGGCCGGGCCGGGGCGCGUCGGGGGCACCACCGCGCCUCCCCGCGGAUCGCAAGGCCUCAGCCCGCGGAGGACAGUGUGCGCCCCGGACUGAUACGCGGGGCUGCAGCCACAGCCCGGGACUGUUAGGGUACAGGGGGCGCCACCCCACACGUAGGCCUCUGCGUGGGCGGCUGGGCCCGCUCCCGGUUGCAUUCUCGUUUUGAUCCCACCGCCGCCGCCCAGGAGGCCGGUUCUCCGCCACUCGGGCCCAGGCGGGUCGCCGCUGCGGGGCGGGAGGGACCUCCCC